rnacentral:lncRNA from 1 species
GGCUAAUAUUGAUUCUGACUUGAUUUAGGAUUGUUUGAGGCUUGAUCUAGGCUAUUUGAUCAAAAUUCAAUGGCCAAAAAUUGAUUUCGCCUAGAACACAUAUUUGGGACAUGGAACAGAGAGCUUUAGUGCAACCAGGAGACCUAAAACACAAGUAUUUCAUGGGAAACUAGGAGACUUGAUAUCAAGAGGCUAGGAAGGCUAUAAAAAGGGGUCCAGGAAUACAAGAAAAAUCAUCCA